rnacentral:lncRNA from 1 species
CACUAAUUUUUUUCACUACAACUUGUGCAACUUUAUUGCUGAUACAACAAAUAUAUUAAUGCAUACACAUUUCUAUAUAAUAGAAAAAAAAUAAAAUAGAUGUUUAAGUUCAUAUAUACUUUGGAUCUAAACUAUACAUUUUAUUUAUAUUAAGCAAUAUAUGUGAAACUUGAAUUUAAGCUACCGCUUCAUAGAAAGUUAUUGAAGCUGAGAGCCUAAUUCCAUCUUGGUAACUCUUUACGUGGUUCAGCUCUCAGCAAGACAACUUUCGAUUGUCCACAUUAAAGAAUGACAGAGGCCUCCUUUUGAGAGCUGGAAAAAAAAAAUCGAAGCUUUUCGUCUAAAUAUAUCACAACCUCUUGAACAAACUGGAUAUUAAUAAUGUAAAACACACAUUAAUCAAGAUAAAAUUUUCAACAGGUAAAAUCACAAGUCAUAGCUCCACGAUAUGUAGGUUUCUUUUGGUCUUGCAACUCUUGCAAAAUAUUUAGAUUUAGACGGAGACCACAAUGUGAAUUUUAAUCAUUUUCUGAUCUUUGAACGCAUCAGAAAGUCCAAAGGCAAGCAAUAUGAGAAAAAAGGACAUAAAUUAGCUAUCAGGAUAGUGGCAUUGAAUAUUUAGCUUUCUCAGGUGUUUGCAACUUAUUAAGGGCAUAAUUCUAAUGCGUAUCAAGAUAAAUUUUCUUGGGUCUUUGCAGCUUAUUAAGAGUGCUUCGGUAGUUGAGCAUGAGGUAAGAGUAAGAUCACAAACAUACAACUGAAAGGGCAAUAAUAACCAAUCCAACUGCUAUCCGAUUAAUAACACAAUUUUUGUUACUUUUUCAUUCUUCGAAACUCAAUGUCAUAAUGUGAAAGAUAAAUCAUAUUGUAUCAAAGUAGAUGAAACAAACACGAAAACAUAAGAAAAAAGGUAGUUGGAGAAAACCUUGAACGCGCGUGGUCAAUGCAUUAACGUGAAAAGAGCCAAUAUCUAACUCAUUAACCUACUAAUUGAAUCAAAACUUACUAAUGGUCUUGGUUAUCUAGCUCUCCAUCAAUUCCCUCUUAUAGUACUCUUAUCUCCAGUGUCAAGAUAUGUUUUUUUGAGGUGACGCAUACAUUUUUGAGAAUGAUCGAUGCAUAAUCACAGCUCUCCCUUUGGCUUAAAUUCCAACCUAGAAAUCCUGACUUUGCUGCCAAUGGAGUUCUUAUUGAGCGUCGAAGCUAACUGCAGUUCAAAUACAAAUGCAAUUCCUAAUUAAUAAUGUGCACAAAAGUUAGAAGAAGAUAGCAAUAUCUGAUUAGAAAAGUUAAUCCUUGCUACAACUUCAUUUUAUCAUCAUCAAAUUUUGGCAAUAUGCAGAGGACCAACCACACAUUUCAAAUAGUAAUUAUGUCGCUUAGGUUAGUAUUAGUUUAUAUGCAAGAGUUCAAAAUCUAUUCACAAUUUUCAUCGAUGUUUCCCAACCAACACAGUCAAAGAAUGACAAUGUCAUCCUCUAGAGGUUCCAUUUACUUUUAAUCUAUUGGAUCUUAGUUUUUCUCCCUCUAUCUUCAUGGUUACGUUAAUUUCUCUACCCCUUAGCUUGGUGCAGGUCUAUUUCUAGAUCUGACCAUAUAUAUUGCAAAUCUAACUUAUUUUGCUAUGCUAUUGUUGGUAGCAGAGUUGUCGCUUCAAUCUACUAUAAUUAUGAAAUUACUUCUAAGUUCUAACUACCACACCACUUGUUGUGACACCUCUAUUUGGAUAGAUAUCUAGAUAUGAAGCAAUUGUCAUUUUGUUGCAGGAUGGUAUAGAGUUGAA